GAUGAACGCUGGCGGCGUGCUUAACACAUGCAAGUCGAACGGGAAACCUUUUAUUGAAGCUUCGGCAGAUUUAGCUGGUUUCUAGUGGCGGACGGGUGAGUAACGCGUGGGUAACCUGCCCUAUACAGGGGGAUAACAACCAGAAAUGGUUGCUAAUACCGCAUAAGCGCACAGGGCCGCAUGGUCCGGUGUGAAAAACUCCGGUGGUAUAGGAUGGACCCGCGUUGGAUUAGCCAGUUGGCAGGGUAACGGCCUACCAAAGCGACGAUCCAUAGCCGGCCUGAGAGGGUGAACGGCCACAGUGGGACUGAGACACGGCCCAGACUCCUACGGGAGGCAGCAGUGGGGAAUAUUGCACAAUGGGGGAAACCCUGAUGCAGCGACGCCGCGUGAAGGAAGAAGUAUCUCGGUAUGUAAACUUCUAUCAGCAGGGAAGAUAGUGACGGUACCUGACGAAGAAGCCCCGGCUAACUACGUG
rnacentral:rRNA from 1 species